AGAGUUUGAUCCUGGCUCAGGACGAACGCUGGCGGCGUGCCUAACACAUGCAAGUCGAGCGGGGAUGCAUUGGAUGAGAGCUUCGGCAGGAUUUCGGUGUAUUCUAGCGGCGGACGGGUGAGUAACGCGUGAGCAAUCUGUCUCAGACAGGGGGAUAACGCAGCGAAAGUUGCACUAAUACCGCAUGAGACCACAGAGCCGCAUGGCUAAGGGGUCAAAGGAGCAAUCCGGUCUGAGGUGAGCUCGCGUCCUAUUAGGUAGUUGGUGAGGUAACGGCCCACCAAGCCGACGAUAGGUAGCCGACCUGAGAGGGUGAUCGGCCACACUGGAACUGAGACACGGUCCAGACUCCUACGGGAGGCAGCAGUGGGAAUAUCGCGCACUGGGCGAAAGCCUGACCCAGCAACGCCGCGUGAGUGAAGAAGGUCUUCGGAUUGUAAAUCUCUGUCCUAAGAGAAGAGGGGAAGACGGUAUCUUAGGAGGAAGCCCCGGCUAACUACGUGCCAGCAGCCGCGGUAAUACGUAGGGGGCGAGCGUUGUCCGGAAUGAUUGGGCGUAAAGGGCGUGUAGGCGGUCUGUUAAGUCUGGAGUGAAAGUCCUGUUUUCAAGAUGGGAAUUGCUUUGGAUACUGGCGGACUUGAGUGCAGGAGAGGUUAUYSGAAUUCYCGGUGUAGCGGUGAAAUGCGUAGAGAUCGGGAGGAACAYCAGUGGCGAAGSCGGGUAACUGGACUGCAACUGACGCUGAGSSSSGAAAGUGUGGGGAGCAAACAGGAUUAGAUACCCUGSUAGUCMMMMYKKWAACGAUGAAUGCUAGGUGUAGGGGGUAUCGACCCSUUCUGUGCCGCAGUAAAMMMMAUAAGCAUYCSGCCUGGGGAGUACGGCCGCAAGGUUGAAACUCAAAGGAAUUGACGGGGGCCCGCACAAGCAGCGGAGCAUGUGGUUUAAUUCGACGCAACGCGAAGAACCUUACCAGGUCUUGACAUCCAGUUAAACCUGUAGAGAUACAUCGUGUCUUCGGACAAACUGAGACAGGUGGUGCAUGGUUGUCGUCAGCUCGUGUCGUGAGAUGUUGGGUUAAGUCCCGCAACGAGCGCAGCGCGUGCUGAUAGUUACUAACGCGUAAAGGCGAGGACUCUAUCAGGACUGCCGGGGACAACUCGGAGGAAGGUGGGGACGACGUCAAAUCAUCAUGCCCCUUAUGACCUGGGCUACACACGUGCUACAAUGGCCGUUACAAAGAGGUGCGAAACCGCAAGGUGGAGCAGAUCUCAAAAAAGCGGUCUCAGUUCGGAUUGUGGGCUGCAACCCGCCCACAUGAAGUCGGAGUUGCUAGUAAUCGCGGAUCAGCAUGCCGCGGUGAAUACGUUCCCGGGCCUUGUACACACCGCCCGUCACACCAUGGGAGUUGAUAGCACCCGAAACUGGUGAGGUAACCGCAAGGGGCCAGCCAGCUAAGGUGAGAUCAAUGACUGGGGUGAAGUCGUAACAAGGUAACCGUA
rnacentral:rRNA from 1 species